GAUGAACGCUGGCGGCGUGCCUAAUACAUGCAAGUCGAGCGAACAGACGAGGAGCUUGCUCCUCUGACGUUAGCGGCGGACGGGUGAGUAACACGUGGAUAACCUACCUAUAAGAUUGGGAUAACUUCGGGAAACCGGAGCUAAUACCGGAUAAUAUAUUGAACCGCAUGGUUCAAUAGUGAAAGACGGUUUUGCUGUCACUUAUAGAUGGAUCCGCGCCGCAUUAGCUAGUUGGUAAGGUAACGGCUUAUCAAGGCAACGAUGCGUAGCCGACCUGAGAGGGUGAUCGGCCACACUGGAACUGAGACACGGUCCAGACUCCUACGGGAGGCAGCAGUAGGGAAUCUUCCGCAAUGGGCGAAAGCCUGACGGAGCAACGCCGCGUGAGUGAUGAAGGUCUUCGGAUCGUAAAACUCUGUUAUUAGGGAAGAACAAAUGUGUAAGUAACUAUGCACGUCUUGACGGUACCUAAUCAGAAAGCCACGGCUAACUACGUG
rnacentral:rRNA from 1 species